AUAUGUAUGUCCAUAUAAGGAACGAAAUAUGACACGUGUCAGCGCUUGUAUGCAAAUUUUUUGAGCGCGUCGUUUGAAAACUCUUUUGAUCGUAUAUUCAUCGAGAUGUUUAUGCUGCUGUGUUAAAAAGACGUUUUGAGCGUAUUUACUCGACUAUUUUGGUACUUCUAAAUAUCCUAAACAACAACGGGCUCCCAUAAGGAAAUUUCAAGGCAAUUGGUUGUGGUAUUAUCUCAGAAAUAUCUUGAGAAGCCAAAUGACGUAUUCUACUUUACUGCGAUCUCUUCAGCAAGUUGUGGUCAAAGAAAAUAUCAUUGCAAUAAUAGGUAAAGGCAGAAUUUGGCAGUAAAAUGUGCAAGAACUAUUAGUCCAUGGUAUGGUUGGCAAAUUUCAAUCUAUCAAGAGUUGUCAAGAAUG